AAUCGAAGCAGUGAACUUAAGCCCCAGUAAACGGCGGCCGUAACUAUAACGGUCCUAAGGUAGCGAAAUUCCUUGUCGGGUAAGUUCCGACCCGCACGAAAGGCGUAACGAUUUGGGCCCUGUCUCAACAACAGACUCGGUGAAAUUGUAAUUCCGGUGAAGAUGCCGGAUACCUGCGACAGGACGGAAAGACCCCAUGGAGCUUUACUGUAGCUUGACAUUGGGUCUUGGUACUACAUGUACAGGAUAGGUGGGAGGCUUUGAAACCAGGACGCCAGUUUUGGCGGAGCCAUCCUUGGGAUACCACCCUUGUAGUACUGGGACUCUAACCAUAGGCCAUGAAUCUGGUCUUGGGACACUGUCAGGUGGGCAGUUUGACUGGGGCGGUCGCCUCCCAAAAGGUAACGGAGGCGCUCAAAGGUUCUCUCAGUACGGUCGGAAAUCGUACGUAGAGUGUAAAGGCAAAAGAGAGCUUGAUUGCAAGACAUACAGGUCGAGCAAGGAUGAAAAUCGGACUUAGUGAUCCGGUGGU
rnacentral:rRNA from 1 species